UCGAAACCUGCCCAGCAGAGCGACCAGAGAACGUGUUUAUCAUGAACGGGGUCUGGGCGAAAGCCCCUUCCUCAAGCCGGGGAAUCGSUUCGCCUCGGCGGUGCGUCCUCCCCGGCACAAUAACGAACCCCGGCGCGGUCUGCGCCAAGGAACAUGAAUACAAGCGUGCCCUUCCGCAACAGGUUCGCCUGUUGUGGACGUGGCACCAAGUCGUAUAUAACAUUAAACGACUCUCGGCAACGGAUAUCUCGGCUCUCGCAUCGAUGAAGAACGUAGCGAAAUGCGAUACUUGGUGUGAAUUGCAGAAUCCCGUGAACCAUCGAGUCUUUGAACGCAAGUUGCGCCCGAAGCCUUUAGGUCGAGGGCACGCCUGCCUGGGCGUCACGCAUCGCGUCUCCCCCCACCACCCUGUGUGGAUGGGGAGGAGGAUGAUGGCCUCCCAUGCCUCACCGGGCGUGGAUGGCCUAAAUAAGGAGCCCCCGGUUACGAAGUGCCGCGGRGAUUGGUGGAAUACAAGGCCUAGCCUAGGAUGAAACGGUAAUCGCGCACAUUGUAGCUCUUGAGGACUCGCAGGACCCUUACUUGUUUGCCCUUAGGGGCGGCAAAACCGUU
rnacentral:misc_RNA from 1 species